GAAGAAGGCCUUCAUGGUUGUAAAGCACUUUAAGCGAGGAGGAGGCUACUUUAAUUAAUACCUAGAGAUAGUGGACGUUACUCGCAAAAUAAGCACCGGCUAACUCUGUGCCAGCAGCCGCGGUAAUACAAAGGGUGCGAGCGUUAAUCGAAUUUACUGGGCGUAAAGCGUGCGUAGGCGGCUUAUUAAGUCGGAUGUGAAAUCCCCGAGCUUAACUUGGGAAUUGCAUUCAAUACUGGUGAGCUAGAGUAUGGGAGAGGAUGGUAAAAUUCCAGGUGUAGCGGUGAAAUGCGUAAAGAUCUGGAGGAAUACCGAUGGCGAAGGCAGCCAUCUGGCCUAAUACUGACGCUGAGGUACGAAAGCAUGGGGAGCAAACAGGAUUAAAUACCCUGGUAGUCCAUGCCGUAAACGAUGUCUACUAGCCGUUGGGGCCUUUGAGGCUUUAGUGGCGCAGCUAACGCGAUAAGUAGACCGCCUGGGGAGUACGGUCGCAAGACUAAAACUCAAAUGAAUUGACGGGGGCCCGCACAAGCGGUGGAGCAUGUGGUUUAAUUCGAUGCAACGCGAAGAACCUUACCUGGCCUUGACAUACUAGAAACUUUCCAGAGAUGGAUUGGUGCCUUCGGGAAUCUAGAUACAGGUGUGAUGGGGUUUUUGGA
rnacentral:rRNA from 1 species